AUGCGAUUUUUCUUGCUGGCUAAAGAGGAGCACCAGUCCCAGUUGCUGCGUUGUGGAGGCCUGCCCGUUAUUAUAACCCUUCUCACAGAAGAUACAAGUGAGGAGGUUAGGAAGGCUGCUACCUUCAUUUUGCAGACCUGCAAACAGGCCACCAUGUCCUCGGAAGUGCCUGGUCUGACAGUGAGCCACGAGGAGGCUGAAGACGUAAACAUGGAAGGCUUCAGGGCCACAGCCAGGGAGUUGCUGUGCAGGAUUGAACUGCUGGAGAAGAAACAGGCCAUGGCGGCUGAGGCUCAGCAGGAAGACAAAGAGCCAUUAACUUCGAGCGAAAGUCUCGGUCGACCACUUCUGCCUCCGCAGCAGAGGGAGACCAUUAAAACCAUUCACACAGCAUGUAGACAGGCCGAGACUCGCAAGCACGUGGAAGCAGGGAGCGACGGCAACAUGACGCAUAUAAGCAGCCAUUUAAAAGGGCGGAAGGAGAAGGAUAAAACCGGUGGAGGGUCUGUGUGGUAUUCUGUGUGCAAUGGUACUGGUUCUCUAAUGCCUUCCCAUCAAAAGUCACUAGAGGGAGACCCGGAGCCUCGCACAGCCGACCAUAAGUUGUUCAAGCCUCCAGCGUCAGUCAGGCACAGUGUACCCAAAGAAAUCCAAGGUUCUGAUGACGAAGAGUUGAAGGACUGUCAGAGAGGUACGGUGGGGAAGAUCCGAGUUGAAGAAAACUCACUGUCUCGUGUCCGGUGUGCAGUUUGCGUGCUGCCUUUUGAGGAAGUGACCAGUCGCACUUUUGCGUCGCUGCAAAGCUCCUGCCAGCACAGCUGUGACAUACACCAGGUACUCCGAGAGGCCACAGAGCGGUUCAGGACCCGUCACUGCAACAUGCUGCUUAGGAGAGAGUACCAUGACGACGGUGAGCCGGCAAACCAAAAAUACGAGAGAGUUUCAGCUGCACAGCCACGGAGGAGCUGGGAAGACUGGAGCGAGGUGCGCCCGACUCUCGUACGUAAGGGAGCAGGAAAAGGCCGGAGCUCCCCUCCCUGGAAGAAGCACAAAGACAUCCGUUUGACUCCACUGCAUAAAGGAGCUACAAAGGAGACAUGGACCACCUACGGGACAGGGCCGGGCUUGAUUCCUCUGAAAAGGUCCCAUCUUCCAGAAGAGAGAAGAGUAGGCAAUAAAAGUGGACGUCCCACUAUGGAUGAUGAGCCGAGGACGAGCCCAGAUCACGGUUCCAAUAGACGGAAGAGGGCCGACUUCAGCAGUGAGGAGGUGCGUUACCUGCAGAGAGGUGUGAAGCGUUUCGGUUUCUCCUGGAACUCCAUUUUGUGGUCGUACCCCUUCCAUCCGGGACGCACCAACGUUGACCUGGCUAAAAAAUACAGCCGGCUAAUGAGAGGUAACGUCUAGGAGUCUGGCUGUUCGGAGGUCGUGGGAAACCCAACGAACGGCUCUCUUCACACUGUAUUUAUUGCAAAUUGAUGCCAAAGAGCGUUUACUUAUAUAUCCUUAUAUAUAUCUAUAUAUUAAUAUAGCGCAUUCUCACGAUGUAUUAAGAUUUGUCUUACAGUACAGUACUUAGAGUACUUGGUACUUUGCACUGUUUGUACUAUAUAUUUUAUUCUUGUCAGUUCUUUGACACAUAUUUUUAAUUGUUUAUUAUAUAAUAAAGUAUUUGUUUUUAAGAUUCUUACAUCUCUCUGUUGAAACUGUUUUGUUUGUUUGUCGUUUUUAUUUAUGGGAUGAAUUUUUCUAUGCCGUGAGUGAAUUUGACGAAUCACCUUUGGGGAAAGGCUAUAUUACUGUUUUGUUGUGCUAUUACUUAUUGAUGAAUCAGCACCACUUUGUUGCCACAUGUAAGUCAGCUGGCUUUGAUUGCAUCAUCAAAUGUGUUGAUGAGUUGUGGCAUGAAAAGAACAUGAAGCAAUCGUUGCUCCACUUCACUGUGUUACUUCUUUGACAUCCGUUGUUAGGGAAGCCAAGACAGAGUUCUGUUUACUUUGUCUAAUGCUCUUGCCAUUGAAGGCCGUAAUGAAGCAAGGCAUCAACAAGGAGGACUCAGGACUCCUUUAUUUACUGAGAUGAAAGCCUCCGGUAGGACAGGAAUCCCGAACCGCCCAGAUCGGGCCGUGUGUCUGUUCUCAGUGUGAAUCAGCAAACCGGGUCAUCCACAAACUGUCCUGCUGCAGGCUGGCUUGACUGAGAUCACCGUCUGAGGAGUGCCUCUCCCUCUCCCAUGGGGACAUGUGUUGCUAAAACCAUGGGACUUACCCACAUGCCAUGCCCCGAGGCGUAGGCUGUAAAAGGGAGGUGUGGUUGGGAUAAAAACAUAUUACAAAACUGAAUUGGAGCAUUGAUGCGCAAGGAUGGUCUCUUGUGUCCUUUUUAAAUGGAGCAGCUCCAUGUAGUGCAUCUUGAAGUCUUUCCUUCAUUUGGUCAAAUUGCCAAAGUAAAAAGUUUCUUUUUGAGGCUGAAGUGAGCUCUCAUACCAAUCCACUGACUGCUCGCUCCAGCAGUUGGAAUUAUACGCCGUGAGGGCAGAGAGGGGGAGAGGGGACGGAGGGCCGGAGGGGGGGGAGAGGCAUGCGAGGAGCAGAUUUCUCAUGGACUGAAACAGUCACACUGAAGACCUUUGACCCCCAGCCACCCGAAAAAAACUCCUUCCUCUGGAAAGAAUGUGGCUCUGCACCCCUCUGACCCCGCCUCCUCUCGUCCUGUCACGAGACCGAGGAGGCACCAUCUCCAGAACGUGUUCUGAUCUGUGCAGGGAUGGAAUUUGAUUUCCAAAAUGUAUGCCGUGCCCCCGUGUGCCGUGUUACAAAGCAAUUGUUACAGCGUGUGCGUUUAGCAGAUCCAUCCGCUCUUUAUUGGGAAUGUUAAAUACCAACACGCCUUUAAUUUUACUGGUUCCCCGUAAUCUUUAACACAGGUUCCUUAGUUAAAAAGUCAAAUCAAGUGACGAUGGACAUAACAUAUGUAUAAUAAUAUUUUUAUUUUUACAAGCAAGCCACUACUUAGGUUAAAAAAAAGAAAAUUCCCAUUGUUAAAUUAGAAUACAAGAAAGACACAGAAUUUCAAAAAGCUCAAAGAUGAUUAUGUGAAGGCGUAAUAGUUCACUAGACACUCGUAUUUCAAUAGCAUACAGUAUAAUGUCUUUUUCAUUGCUACUAUCCCUUGCCUAUGGAUUUGGAUUUACCUGCCGAUGCUGACUGACAUACCUCAGGACACUUCUGCUUUUCCCUUUGUACUCAGGAACAUCAAAAUGAUUCCCUUCCAGCUUUCUCUAUGCCGCGUUAUCGUAUAGCAAUGGCUUCUUUUCUCUUAAAGAAAUUUGGUUAAAAUUCUUGCCUGGUGCAUUUGCAUAGAGGAAGAUCUCUGUUGUCCAGCAAUACACACAAGUACACUCAUAAUAAAGCCCAGACAAUACACCUUUUUUUGGCACACGUUCAUUUAGAUAGAGACAUUUUUGCCUUUAUUAGGCCACUUAGGUGAGAGAGAAAGAAACAUUGCAUCCCAGCUUCUUUUGGAAUUCACGUUAGGGGUUACGAGGGCUUCACAGAUAUAACAUCCUUUCACUGCCGCACCUUCACAUCAGCUCGGUGGAAGUGCUCACGUCGUCGGGAAUCUGGACGUCGGCCGGAAUGAGGUCAGCGACAAGGUCGUUUCCUUUCAGCUCCAAGUUCUUCAGCAGUCCACUGAGACCCUCGUCACUGACGUCACACACAUGCUGCUCCAAAUGCACUCCACCCUUCCCCUCCAUCGCCUUUUCCCCUGACUCGGACGCCUCCUCGCCGUUUUCAGGCUCAAACGUGGGAAUGGCCGAGACCUCAGCGCUGUUUUGGAAUUCCUCGGUCGCCGGGUUGUCUGCCGGCUCCUUCGCUUCGACCGGAGCUGGGGCGGGAGGAAUGUCAACGGGUCGGGCAUCUUCUUCGGGGGCGCAUGGGUUGAUCAAAGGUGCUGGAGAAGAAAUCUGUGGCUCGGGGAGAGACUCUUGGCUGAGGAGGUCCGUCUUCAGCUCUGCGGCCUCAGCUGCCGCCGGCACCAACUCUGAAAUGGGUUCAGAGACUACCUCAACUUCUGCCUCUGGUUCAGGAACUGGAACCGUUUUGGAGACUGGCUCUGGUUCAGGCAGUGGUUCGGCAACUGGAUCUGGUUCUGGAACUGGCUCUGGUGUGGAAACUGGCUCUGGUGCGGGCAGUGGUUCAGGAACUGGCUCUGUAGCCAGCGGAGCUUCAGCAACAGGUUCUAAAUCUGGAGCUGAUGAUUUGCCAAGUGAGACCAGAGGCUCGGAUUGGACUGGAGCUGGUGUUUCCUUCGCCACGGGCUCAGCAUCCUCCUCCACUCCACUGUUCAACACCAAUUUUUCAGUGAUGGAACGCGCCACUUGCGCCACCUGCCCCAGAAUCUGGACAUCUAGAUCCUGAGUUUGAGUUUGAGUUAUCCCAGAGUCCUCCGCUGGUUGUCCAGCUUCUGACUCCUCUGCAGUCUUUGCUUCUUCAGCAGUCUCAGCAUUGUUAGUUUCUCGCUCUUUUCCAAACCGGUUUCCCAUAAUGAAUCUGAACAGACAAAAAAAAAAAAAUGACUGGAUGGAAGCAAUGAAAUUUCAAAUGCUAAAAGUGGUUGCAAAAAGUAAAACUUUUAUUUGGCUUAAAAUUAAGAUAAACAUUAAUUUUGCUGGCAUUGUAUUGUAAAAACAUGUGGAACUUUUUCUCCCAAUUCCUUGAAUAGUUGAUCAAAGCGUUUAGUGGUCAGGAUACACUACACGUGUGCGUGCUUUGUGGGACAUUGUGUUCUCUUGCACCUUUCCCGGGCCGCAUGUGCAACGUGUCCCAUAAAGUGUCGGCAAUGAGCGUGCAGUCCACGGGGGAUGUUUGCGCUGGCACCCGACGAGGACUUUAAACAUUUGUUUGUUUAUUUAUUUCUUGACUUGUUUGCACUACAUGCCCCCCCCCCCCCUCGCGCGCUCGAGUGGACAGACUCGAUCCGGACGUUUAAACGCGCAAACGAUCAUCACCCAGCAGUGUCACCCAAUGUCAUGCAAAUCAUAGUUCACGAUUUCCACUUUUUU
ensembl:lncRNA